CACGUAGGGUGCAAGCGUUGUCCGGAAUUAUUGGGCGUAAAGGGCUCGUAGGCGGUCCGUCACGUCGGGAGUGAAAACUCGGGGCUCAACCCCGAGCCUGCUUUCGAUACGGGCGGACUAGAGGUAGGUAGGGGAGAACGGAAUUCCUGGUGUAGCGGUGGAAUGCGCAGAUAUCAGGAGGAACACCGGUGGCGAAGGCGGGUCUCUGGGCCGAUACUGACGCUGAGGAGCGAAAGCGUGGGGAGCGAACAGG
rnacentral:rRNA from 1 species